UACAGAGGUGGCAAGCGUUGCUCGGAAUCACUGGGCUUAAAGGGCGCGUAGGCGGUGCGGUACGGCUUCGGUGAAAUCCCUCGGCCCAACCGAGGAACAGCCGGGGCUACGGCCGCGCUCGACGGCAUCAGGGGACAGUGGAACUCCCGGUGGAGCGGUGAAAUGCGUAGAUAUCGGGAGGAACGCCGGUGGCGAAAGCGACUGUCUGGGGUGCCUGUGACGCUGAGGCGCGAAAGCCAGGGGAUCAAACGGG
rnacentral:rRNA from 1 species